GAAAGAGGGAAAAAUGGGGAUGGUAGAAUUAGCACUAGUGGCUUGCUUUCUUGUGGUAAUUUUGCCAAUGGUUAGUAGCUCUUCUGAAGGUUCCAAAGAAAUUGAUCAAUGGCUUCAAGAGCUCACUCAUGCUAAGCAGAAGGCGACCCAUCUCCAUUUCUACCUCCAUGACACAUUUUCUGGGCGAAACCCAACUGUGGUAGAAGUAGCCCAAUCCAAUAUGACACAUAGCUCGCCAACUCUAUUUGGGCUGAUGAACGUAAUGGACGACCCAUUGACCGAGGGGCCUGAAUCAACAUCGAAGGAGGUGGGGCGGGCUCAGGGGUUCUACGGGUCAUCAGGGCAGAAGGAAAUGGGUCUUCUCAUGGCUAUGAGCUUAGUUUUCACAACUGGGAAGUUCAAUGGCAGCAGUCUCACAAUUCUAGGCAGAAAUCCAGCAAUGGAACCCCAUCGUGAGCUGCCCAUCAUCGGUGGGAGUGGCGUUUUCCGAUUGGCGAGGGGUUUUGCUGCACUGAAAACGUAUUAUUAUAAUGCAAGCAAUGGAGAUGCAAUUGUUGAAUAUAAUGUUGCAGUUAUUCAUUACUGAAAAACAGUGUUUUUCCCGUUAGGCUUCAUCUCAUUUCAACCUCCUUGUUUUACAAAAUUUGUUGGGAAUUCGGGUUGGGCAAAUUUGUUGCCUUUGUAUAGUGACUGUUUGGUGACCUAAUUUUGGUUUGUUCACACUUUAUUAAAUA
rnacentral:misc_RNA from 1 species